rnacentral:misc_RNA from 1 species
ACGUGUGCUCCGUGUACCUGUACCGCUGAACUUGUUGGCCGCCCCAAAGCUGCUCUGGCUGCUCCCCCCCCCUUCCCACUGCCGUGGCGAGAGGUUCGCGCUGCUUCUCCCGUGCCUGGGGUUCUUCUUGUGCAACUGCGCUGCUUGGCGUUGGUUGGGCUGCGCCUCUGUUGAGCCCUUGCCAUGCACUUGCGUUUCUUUAUAUGUUGUUUCUCACGUCUUCGUUGUGAGCCGCUUUCGGCUACGUGAACGAACACACACACACACACACACACACACACACACACGCAGAAAGACGCUGAAACGAUGCACACACGCACACACUGCCAGCAGGCCACACACGAGGCCGCUGAUGCCAAGAUGUCGUGAAGCUACCCUUUUCACUGCUCCUUCACUGUCUAGUGGAGUGUGUGGACCGUAUCACACGGACGCAGGAUGGGCUAGGGAGGGGGAAGGUGCUAGCGCCCAUGGGCACAGGCGGCGCACACACGCACACACACCUUGAGCGAGAAGCCAGCAUGUGCUGCGUGUGAACCACCUCUGGCAAUCGCAAGAGUGCACAGAUGCCUUUCAUGCCGGCUGUGCGGCCCUGCAGACUCGUCCGUGGGGUCAAACGCGGCUGUUGCUCUAUCCGUGCGCAUGUGCGUCUAUUGAGACUGACGAGUGCCGUUGGGCCUUAUAUGUGACGCCCUCCUUGUGCGCCUUUCCUCCGUCUUUGUCCAUCAUCUCGCCGAGGGCGACCAGCUCUUUUCCUGCACCCUGCCCUUUCAUUGUCCGUCAUUCUAUGCCUUUUCUUUAG